rnacentral:rRNA from 1 species
GAUGAACGCUGGCGGCGUGCUUAACACAUGCAAGUCGAACGGAGUUUACAUGUGAGCGGAGGGUGCUUGCAUCUAACAAUCUUUUGUAAACUUAGUGGCGGACGGGUGAGUAACGCGUGGGUAACCUGCCCUAUACAGGGGGACAACAGUUGGAAACGACUGCUAAUACCGCAUAAGCGCACAGCAUCGCAUGAUGCAGUGUGAAAAACUCCGGUGGUAUAGGAUGGACCCGCGUCUGAUUAGCUAGUUGGUAAGGUAACGGGCUUACCCAAAGGCGACGAUCAGUAGCCGGCCUGAGAGGGUGAAACGGCCACAUUGGAACUGAGACACGGU